rnacentral:rRNA from 1 species
UAGGGAAUCUUCCACAAUGGGCGCAAGCCUGAUGGAGCAACACCGCGUGAGUGAAGAAGGGUUUCGGCUCGUAAAGCUCUGUUGUUGGAGAAGAACGUGCGUGAGAGUAACUGUUCACGCAGUGACGGUAUCCAACCAAGAAAGUCACGGCUAACUACGUGCC